rnacentral:rRNA from 1 species
UACGUAGGUGGCAAGCGUUGUCCGGAUUUAUUGGGUUUAAAGGGUGCGUAGGCGGCUUUGUAAGUCAGUGGUGAAAUAUGGCAGCUCAACUGUCAAGGUGCCAUUGAUACUGCGGAGCUUGAGUACAGAUGAGGUAGGCGGAAUUGACGGUGUAGCGGUGAAAUGCUUAGAUAUCGUCAAGAACACCUAUAGCGAAGGCAGCUUACUAGGCUGUAACUGACGCUGAGGCACGAAAGUGUGGGGAACAAACAGG